rnacentral:lncRNA from 1 species
GCUGUUGAGCGUCUUCUCCCGGGUCCAGUGGAAGGAGGAUCCCACUGACCCUAAAACCUAGCCAGGGCGACAGGCCAUCGGAGGGCGGGUGUGGACGUUUCUGGUCUGAGAGCGGUGUUUUGAGGUUGGAAUGCAGUGUCACUUGGCUCACUGAAACCUCCGCAUCCCAGGCUCAAGUGAUUCUCCCACCUCAGCCUCCCGAGUAGCUGGGACUACAGAUGUGCUCCACCACGCCUAGGUAAUUUUUGUAUUUUUGGUAGAGAUGGGGUUUCACCAUGUUGGCCAGGCUGGUCUCAAACUCCUGCUCAAGCAGUCCGCCUACCUCGGCCUCCCAAAGUGCUGGGAUUAUAGGCACCCUUUUCCCUUUCAAUUUUUUCCCUAAGGAAUUUAGAGGCAAAUUAAGAGUUUGAAGACUGCCCCAAGUCAUAGAUCAAUAAGAAUAAAUUAACAAUUGUAAGCCAGGUGUGGUGGCUCAUGCCUGUAAUCCCAGCACUUUGGGAGGCUGAAAUGGGAAGAUCACUUGAGGCCAGGAAUUCAAGAAGAUCACCCUGGGCAUUGUAGUGAGACCCCAUCUCUCUUUAAAAAAAAAAAAAAAGGCUGGGCGCGGUGGCUCACGCCUGUAAUCCCAGCACUUUGGGAGGCUGAGGCAGGCAAAUCACGAGGUCAGGAGAUUGAGACCAUCCUGGCUAACACAGUGAAACCCCGUCUCUACUAAAAAUACAAAAAAUUAGCCGGGUGUGGUGGCAGGCGCCUAUAGUCCCAGCUACUCGGGAGGCUGAGGCAGGAGAAUGGCGUGAACCUGGGAGGUGGAGCUUGCAGUGAGCCGAGAUCUCGCCACUGCACUCCAGCCUGGGCGACAAAGUGAGACUCCAUCUC